AAAUUUUUGGGGCUGGUGCUGUGGCGCAGUGGAUUAACACCCUGGCCUGAAGCGCUGGCGUCCCAUAUGGACACCGGUUCAAGACCCGGUGGCUCGACUUCCAGUCCAGCUUUCUGCUGUGGCCUGGGAAAGCAGUAGAAGAUGGCCCAAGUGCUUGGGCCCCUGCACCCGCAUGGAAGACCCAGAAGAAGCUCCUGGCUCCUGGCUUCAGAUUGGCGCAGUUCCAGCUGUUAUGGCCAAUCAGGAGUGAACCAGUGGAAGACACCCCCCCACACACCUCUCUUUCUAUCUCUAUGUUAACUCUGCCUUUCAAAUAAAUAAAUAAAUCUUUAAAAAAAAGUUGAAGAGAAGCGUGUUUUCUCAAAAUUAAAGAAAAUUAUAUUAAAAUUUUUAUUUCAGGGACUUUACAAUGCUAAUUUUUUUUCAGAUUUAUUUAUUUAUUUGAAAGUCAGAGUUACACAGGGAGAAGGAGAGGCAGAGAGAGAAAGGUCUUCCAUUCACUGGUUCACUCUCCAGUUGGCCUCAAUGGCCAGAGCUGUUCUGAUCCAAAGCUAGAAGCCAGGAACUUCUUCUGUCCCUUGCAGGUACAGGGGCCCAAGGACUCGGGCCAUAUUCCACUGCUUUCCCAGGCCAUAGCAGAGAGCUGGAUCAGAAGAGGAGCAGCCGGGACUUGAACCGGUGCCCAUAUGAGAUGCUGGCACUGCAGAUGGCUGCUUUACCUGCUGCACCACAGCGCUGGCCCCACAAUGUUAAUUUCAAAACAGCGAAACAUUUACCAGGGGCUGUUGUUUUUGAAUACCUACUAAAUAUCAUAUUUGAGGGAAUUCUGGUAUAUAAAUACAAAUUUUUAUUUGAUGUGAUUUUUUGCAGUUAUUAACAGUGUUUUCUUUGUGUCACAUUGCAUUUGUAAGUUAUUCAAAAGACUACAGUUACAGGAUAAAUAAUAAUGUGAAAUAAUCAUAAUAGCUAAAAGUUUCCUCAGAUUUUAUAUGUAUAUAAACAUUGGUCCAUUUGUUGUUAUUAGCCCAUUCAGAAGUGAAUGAUCCUUGUUCCUUCCUUUGUGUUGUUAAUUUUGUCCACUUUGCUAUUACAAAAGAUUAAAUAUUGGUUCUGCUUGAAGGUACACGGAGUAGACAUUUUGUCUCAUAGUUAAAUUGCCACAUGGCAUGGCCACAUCCCACAUCAGAAUGCCUAUUUCAAGUCCUGGCUCCUCUGGUUUUGAACCAGCUUCCUGCUAAUGAGCAGCAUGUGAGGCAGCUACUGAUGACUCCUGCCACCCACAUGAGAGACAUGCAUUGAGUUCUGGGCUCCUAGUUUCAGCCUGGUGCAACACUGGCUAUUGUAGACAUUGGAAGAGUGAGCCAAUGGAUGGAAGAUCUGUCUCUCUGACUUUCACAUUAAUUGAAAGUCAAUAAAUAUUUAGAAAAAAAUACAUGAUACACAUUAGGGGCCGGCACUGUGUUAAGCCACUUCCUGCAGCACCAGCAUCCUGUAUGGGCAGUGGUUCAAGUGCAGGCUGCUCCACUUCUGUUCCACCUCCCUGCUUUGCACCUAGGAAAGCAGUAGAUGUCUCAGGUGCUUGGGUUCCUGCAUCCAUGUUUGAGACCCACAAAAAGAUCCCGGUUCCUGGCUUUAGCCUGGCCCAGCCCUUGCCAUUCCAGCCAUUCAAGGAGUGAGCCAGCAGAUGCAAGGUCCAUCUCUUUCUCUCUCUCUGUAACUCUGCCCUUCAAAUGAAUAAAAUAUUUUUUUAAAUGAAAAUAAUAGUAAUGUGAGUACUCGUAAUUGACCAAAUAUUAUACAAAUUGAGGUACCAUUUAAUUCUAAAACAACUUUGCACAGUAGUUACUACUGCUUUCCUCAUUUUGAGGAAGAAGCAACUGUGUUUUAGAGAGGUUAGGUAACUUGUUUAAGCUUUCAAAAAUACCUGGGGUUGAAUAGCCACAAUUCUCAUCCUGAACUAUCCAAACCACACCCUACCUCAAAUUUGAAAAAUCUAAAAGAUAUUAAAGAAAACCCAGAUAAAUAGAGAGAUACGUAAUUUUGAAGGAAAAGAUUCAGUAUUAUUCAAAAUGUUUCUUUCCCAAUAUGUAACCUAUGAAUUGCAAGUUUAGUCCAAUUUCAAUGUAUAAGAAUAAAUAUCUAAGACAGUUUUUUAAAGGAACAGUAAGAUUAGAGUUGCUCCAUCAGUUUUCACAUAUAUCUUUUUUUUAAAGAUUUAUGUAUGUAUUUAUUUAUUUAUUUAAAACUCAAAGUUACACAGAAGACCUCUCUCUCUCUCUCUCUCUCUCUCUCUCUGCCUGUGCCUCUCUAUACUCUGCAUUUCAAAUAAACAAAUCUUAUUUUUAAAUAGAUACAUUUCUUUAUUUGAAAGGCAGAGUUACACAGAGAAAGAGAAAUAUCUUCCAUACGUUGGUUCACUCCCCCAGAUGGCCACAACAGCCAGGGCUGGGCUAGGCCAAAGCCAGGAGUCAAGAAUUGAAUUGGAGCUCAUCUGGGAUGCCAGUGUCGCAGACCCACUGUGCCACAACUCCAGCCCCCAUGUUAUAAAUUUUAAAUUGCUAUUUAAAUAAAUAUUACUUAAGAUGUACAGUAACCAAGCUUGCAAACGUGGUGGUUUUGAUUAGUUUAUUUGAAAGGCGGGGGGUGAGAGAACAUUUUGUGGGGUUUCCCCAUAAAACAUUUUGUUGAGUUUCCAUCCAUUGGUUCACUCUCUAAAUGCCCAGGGCAGGACAAACCCAGGAGCCAGUAAUUCUAUCCAGGUCUCCUGCAUGGGUGACAAGGGCCCAGUCAUUUAGGCCAGUAACAUCUGCCUUCCCAGUCAUGUUAGCAGGAAGCUGGAUUGGAAACAGAGUAUCUAGGCCUGGAACUGGCACUUGGACAUGGAAUGCAGGUGUUCCAAGCAGCGGUUUUUAAUCUGCUGUGCUACAAUGUCCACUGUAGCACAUUGGUUUUUAGUUUUCUCUAAAAUGAGGAGACUGAAGCCCAGAGCAGGUAAGAAAUUGCCACAAAUAAGAGGCAGGCGUUUGGCCCAGCAGUUAAUAUGCCUGCUUUUCAUAUCAGAAUGGUUGAGUUCACGUCUCGGCUCCAUUACUGAUUCCAGCUUCCUGAGAGCAUUCAUCUUGGGAGGCAGUAAGUGAUGGCUCCAGUCCCUACCACCCAUGUGGGAGACUGAGAUGAAUUCUGGAAUCAUGGCUUUGAUCUGGCCUAGCCCCAACUGUGCAUAUGAAGAAUAAACCAGUGAAUGGGAUCUCUCUCCCUCUCUCAAUCAAAUAAAUAAAUAUAUAAAAAAUUCUUUUAAAAAGAAAAGAAGUUGCCCAGAGUAAAAUGACAAUUUAGUAAAAGAGCUGAGACUACGACCAUAUUUUCCUGCCUCUUAGUCUUCUGUUAAUUCUGUUCUGCCAAAUAGCCCUCCUAAAUCUAAUUUAUGGAUUUUGUUUUUAAAGAUUUAUUUAUUUAUUUGGAAAUCAGGGUUACACAGAGAGAGUAGGAGAGGCAGAGAGAGAGGUCUUCCAUCCACUGGUUUACUCCCCAGUUGGCUGCAAUGGCCGGAGCUGCACAGAUCCGAAGCCAGGAGCCAGGAGCCUCCUUCGGAUCUCCCAUGUGGGUGCAGGGCCCAAGGACUUGGGCCAUCUUGUAUCCUUUCCCAGGCCACAGCAGAGAGCUGGAUUGGAAGUGGAGCAUCUGGGACUCGAACCGGUACCCAUAUAGGAUGCUGGCACUGCAGGCGGCAGCUUUACCCCCUACACCACUGUGCCAGCCCCAAGGUUUUUGAUCUUUUAAUGUCCCCUUAGUAAUCUAGUUUUUUUUUUUCUUUACUUAUUAAUACUGUUGUUAUCUGAAAGGCAGAGUUAGGGUCCAGUGCUGUGGUGCAGCGGAUUAACUCCCUGGCCUGAAGCGCUGGCAUCCCAUGUGGGCACCAGUUCGGGUCCUUGUGUCCCUGCACCCACAUGGGAGGCCUGGAAGAAGCUCCUGGCUCUUGGUUUCAUAUCGGCACAACUCCAGCCAUUGCGGCCAAUUGGGGAGUAAACCAGCAGAUGGAAGACCUCUCUCUCUCUCUCUCUCUGCCUUUCUUCUCUCUGUGCAUCUCUGACUUUCAAAUAGAUAUAAAUCUUUUUAAAAAAUAAAUUAAAAAAAGAGAGAGAGAGGAGAGACUCUGAGAGAUCUUUCAUCCGUUGGUUCACUCACCAAAUGGCUGCAAUGGCUACUGCUGGGUGGCGCUGAAAUCAGGAGCCAAGAGCUUCUUCCAGGUGUCCCAUGUGGGUCAAGGGGCCUAAGCACUUGGGACAACUUCCACUGCUUUCCCAGGCCAUUCGCAGGGAGCUGGAUCAGAAGUGGAGCAGCUGGGACUCGAACUGGUGCACAGAUGGGAUGCCAAUGUCACAGGCAGAGGCUUAACCUGCUAUGCCACAGCACCGGACUCCUUUAUUUCUUACCAGAUGUUGAUUUCUAUUAAUGUUUCUUCUUUGUUCUAUGCCUUUUAAUUUUCCAUUAUUCUUUUUCUUUUUAUUAUUUGUAUUAUUGUAAUAGCCUGUUAACUAAUUUCCCAGUUUCCCUUCUCCUUUUCCUUCAUUUCAGACUAGAAUCAAUAUGCAUGGGUUUUCAUCUUGCCUCAUAAGAGUAGAAAUUAAUAAAAUAAAACCCAAAUACACAAUAAGGUACCUAUAAUAGUCAAAUUUGUAGAGACAGCAGUAGAAUGCUGGCUGUUAAUGUUUGGGGUUGGAAGAUGGAGCUUUUUGUUUAAUGUGUACAGUUUCGGGCCGGUGUUGUGGCGCAGUGACUUAAUGCCCUGGCCUAAAGCACCAGCAUCCCAUAUGGGCGCCAGUUAGAGACCGGCUGCUCCACUUCCGAUCCAGCUCUCUGCUAUGGCCUGGGAAAGUAGUAGAAGAUGGCCCAAAUCCUGGGCCCCUGCACCCACGUGGGGGACCCGGGAGAAGCUCCUGGCUACUGGCUUCAGAUCAGCACAGCUCCGGCCAUUGCGGCCAAUUGGGGAGUGCACCAUCGGAUGGAAGACCCCUCUCUUUCUCUGCCUCUCCUCUCUAUGUGUAACUCUGAUGCAAAGAAUUUUGGAGAUAGGGAUGGUGGUGAUGGUUGCACAACAAUAUAAAUUUACUUAAUGCCAUUGAACUAUACACUUAAAAGGGUUAAGAUGGUAAAUUUUAUCUUCCAUAUAUUUUACCAUAUUAAGGAAGUUGGGGAAAAAACCAAACCAAACAGAUAUGCAAUAGAAGUGUUCUACAAAGGAACCAUUGGUUCUCUGAGAAAAUAAUAAUUGAAUAUUAGAUUGAUCAAGAUUAAAGACACAGGAUAAGAAUAGGAUAAUAUGAGCAUACUCUCAGUGAAUUUGAAACUUUAGACAGAAUGGUUUACAUUUCUUUAAAAAAUAUAUAGAAGUAACUGAAAUGACGUCCCAGAAAAUUGAGGACCUUCGACUUCUAUACCAUUGAAUGAAUUCAAUCAAGAGUCAAAUAAAUGUGUUUCCAUUAGAACAUUCCUGGGGCAGGCACUUGGUGCAGCAGUUAAGUCACUGCUUGAGGUACCCAGAUCUCUCCCAUGCCAGAGGGCCUAGUUCAUGACCCAGCUCCUCCACUAUGUAUCCAGCUUUCUGCUGAAAACUGGUAGAAAGUAAAAGAAAGCCUAGAAACAGACAAGUAUAUAUAUAUAUUUUAAGAUUUUAUUUAUCUAUUUGAAGGCAGAGUUACAGAGAGGCAGAGAGAGAGACAAGAGUCUUCCAUUCGUUGGCCAUAAAGGCUGAGCUGUGUCAAUCCAAAGCCAGGAGCCUGGCGUUUCCUCCAGGCCUCCCACGUGGGUACAGGGGCCCAAGGACUUGGGCCAUCUUCCACUGCUUUCCCAGUCCAGUAGCAGAGAGCUGGAUCAGAAGUAGAGCAGCCAGGAGUCAAACCAGCACCUAUAUGGGAUGCCAGCAUUUCAGGUGGCAGCCUUACCCUCUAUGCCACAGUGCCAGCCCCAACGGGCCAGUAUAAGAAGAGUCUGCAUGGAUUUCAAAAUUCUUUUUUGCAUCAAAAUUUAUCUUUUUUUUUUUUUUAAGUAGGAUUCAUUUAUUUGAAAGAGUGAUUGAGAAAGAAGAGGGGAGAGAGAUAUCUUCCAUCUACUCUUCAUUCCCCAGAUACCUUCAACAACCAAGACUAGGGUCUUCCAUAUGGGUGGCAAGGGUCCAAAAUACUUGGGCCAUCUUGUGCUGCCUACCCUGGGCAAAUGAGCAGGAGGUUAGACCAGAAACAUGUAGUAGCCAGGGUUUGAACCACAAUCUCUUCAGUUUGGGAUGCAGGCAUCCCUUGGGGCAGGCUAACCAACUGCAACAUAGUGCCUGCCCCAGUAAAUUUAUCUUUUUGAUUCUAUCUUUCCAUGAACUUGGUUCUUUUAAAAGAUUUCUUUUUAUUUAUUUGAAAGGCAGAGUUAACAGAGAGAAGUAGAAAGAGAGAGAGGUCUUUCCUCUGCUGGUUCAAUCCCCAAAUGGCUACCACGACUAAGGCUGAGCCAGGCUGAAGCCGGGAGCCAGGAGCUUCUUCCUGGCUUCCCAUGUGGGUUCAGGGGCCCAAGUACUCCACUGCUUUCCCAGGCCAUUAGUAAGGAACUGGAUCAGAAAUAGAGCAGCCAGGACUCAAACCAGCACCCAUGUGGUAUGCCAGCGCUGCAGUUCAGGGCUUUAACCUACUGCAACACAUUGCCAGCCCGUCCAGAACUUUUAAAGUAUUGUCAUGUAUUUGUGUACUUGAUAGUACUACAAGUGGUCUAAAAAUAAUACUUUCAUAAGUAAUGCUGGUACAAUUGACUCUAUAUAGAAAAAAUGAACUUAGAUCCCACCUAUGGACAAAAAUUAAUUCUGUUAAUUCAGUACCUAAAUAUGAAAUAACUAAGUUUUUUUUUAAAAAAGAUUUAUUUGGCCGGCACCGCGGCUCACGGCUAAUCCUCCGCCUAGCGGCGCCGGCACACCGGGUUCUAGUCCCGGUCGGGGCGCCGGAUUCUGUCCCGGUUGCCCCUCUUCCAGGCCAGCUCUCUGCUGUGGCCAGGGAGUGCAGUGGAGGAUGGCCCAGGUGCUUGGGCCCUGCACCCCAUGGGAGACCAGGAAAAGCACCUGGCUCCUGGCUCCUGCCAUCGGAUCAGCGCGGUGCGCCGGCCGCAGCGCGCCGGCCGCGGCGGCCAUUGGAGGGUGAACCAACGGCAAAGGAAGACCUUUCUCUCUGUCUCUCUCACUGUCCACUCUGCCUGUCAAAAAAAGAUUUAUUUAUUUUUAUUUGAAAGGCAGAGUUAGAGAAAUAGGGAGAUCUUCCAUAUGCUGGCUCACUCCCCAAACAGCCACAAUGGUCAGUGUUGGGUCAGGCCGAAACCAGGUACCAGGAGCUUCUGGGUGUCCCAGUGUGGGUGCAGGGGCCAAGGACUUGGGCCAUCUUCUACCAUUUUCCCAGACCACAGCAGAGAGCUGGAUUGGAAGAGGAGCAGCCAGGUCUUGAACCGGUGCUCAUAUGGGAUGCUGGCGCCACAGGCGGAAGAUGAACCUACUGCGCCACAGCGCCUGCCCCAUGUACAUGUCUUAUACAACUUUUUUGUCAUGCUUAUUUUAUAAUUUCAAAAUGUUGCCACUAAAGAGAUUGAAAUGGUAUACCAAAAAAAAUACUUAUUUGGACUAAACAUGAUUUUUCAAAUUAUAAAACUGAGUAAAUUAAUUGAAAAAAACUCUUUCUGAAAGUUGAAUUCAUAGCCUAGAACAGUUGUACACUAAAUGAUAAAGUGAUAUCACACAUCCCCAGUUAGAGAAUUGGAACCAUUAGGGUUCUUUUUUUUUUUUUUUUUUAAGAUUGUAUUUAUUUAUUUGAGAGGUAGAGUUACAGACAGUGAGAGGGAGAGACAGAGAGAAAGGUCUUCCUUCCGUUGGUUCACCCCCCAAAUGACUGAAACGGCUGGAUUUGCGCAGAUCCAAAGCCAGGAGCCAGGUGCUUCUUCCUGUCUUCCAUGCGGGUGCAAGGGCCCAAGAACUUGGGCCAUCUUCUACUGCUUUCCCAGGCCAUAACAGAGAGCUGGAUUGGAAGGGGAGCAGCCAGGACUAGAACUGGCACCCAUAUGGGAUGCCUGUGCCGCAAGCAAAGGAUUAACCUAUUGCACCAUGGCGCCGGCCCCAACCAUUGGGGUUCUGCUCUCUCUGUCCCUCUACCUUCCUGAUAGAUUUGAUAUCCUCAAGAAAUUCUCUCUGCCUUCCCUUUCCGAUCUAGAUUAAAUAAUUUUUCCUUUUUGCUACUGUUACACAGCACUGUAAUUAGCUCAUAUGACUUUUAAAAUUUAUUUAUUUUCAUUGUGCUUAUAAAGGCAGAGUAAUAGAUACAAAUAGCAAGAAAUCUUCCAUCCACUGGUUCACAUCAGUUGGGGCUGGACCAGGCCAAAACCAGGAGCCUGGAACGUAAUCUGAUACUCCCACAUGGGUAACAGAGACUUAACUACUUGAGCCAUCACCUGCUGCCUCCCAGUGUAUAUACAUUAGCAGAAAGUUGGAAUUGGAAGUUGAGCCAGGACCCAAACUGUCAAUCCAAUGGAAUGUGGGUACCCCAAGUAGCAUCUUUACUGUUAUGCCAAAUGCCACCCCAAAAUUAUUUUUGUCAUUAUUCUCUUUCAUCACUUUUUGUCAGACUUUGAGCCAAUGCCCUGCACAGUGCCUGCUUUGCACUUGAUAGGUAAUUAGUAAUGUUUGUAAAAUGGGUAAGGGGUGGGUGGAAAUACCGUAAGUGUUUCUUCUGUAUAGGCUUAAGGUUCCUGGGUCGGGGUGCCGGAUUCUGUCCCGGUUGCCCAUCUUCCAGUCCAGCUCUCUGCUGUGGCCAGGGAGUGCAGUGGAGGAUGGCCCAAGUCCUUGGGCCCUGCACCCCAUGGGAGACCAGGAUAAGUACCUGGCUCCUGCCAUCGGAUCAGCGUGGUGCGCCGGCCACAGCGUGGUGGCCAUUGGAGGGUGAACCAACGGCAAAGGAAGACCUUUCUCUCUGUCUCUCUCUCUCACUGUCCACUCUGUCUGUAAAAAAAAAAAAAAAAAAAAAAAAAAAAAAAAAAGGACUUAACAGGAUAUGAGAUUUGGCCUGCCAAUUAAGAUGCCACUUAGAACUCCUGCAUCCCAUGUUACAAUGGGUUAGUCCCAAUUCCAGCUUCCUGCUGAUGUGUACCCUGAGAGGCAGCUGUUGGUGACUAAGAUUCAGAAAUGUCUGAGAAUCCAGUUUUUUUCCUAGGUUGUUUUUGAUAGAGAAAUAUACAGUAUAUUAACAUUAUCUAUAUUGGCCUUACUAUGCUAUUGAACACCAGAACUUUUUUUUUUUUAAGAUUUAUUUAUUUACUUGAAAAUCAGUUACAUAGAGAGAAGGAGAGGCGGGGUGGGGGAGGAGCAGCCGGGACUCGAACCAAUGCCCAUAUGGGAUGCUGGCUCUGCAGACGGUGGCUUUACCCACUAUGCCACAGCACUGGCCCCCAGAACUUCUUAUUCCUAUCUGGUUAUAACCUGGUACCUAUCAGUCAGUCUUUCCCUAUAACUUCCUUUCUCACUUCCCUCCCCAGCCCCUGGUAACCAUCAUUAUAUUUUUAACUUCUAUGAAAUCAUCUUAAAAAAAAAAAGAUUUAUUUAUUUAUUUGAAAGGCAGAGUUACACAGAGAGAGAAGGAGAGGCAGAGAGAGAGGUCUUCCAUCCACUGGUUCACUCCACCUUGAGCUGACCCCUUAUUUCAAUUCCAUUCAGACAUUUAACACAUUUAACCUGUUAAAUACAGCCAGUUAGUCUGAUGACAUCCCUAUAAUGAUGUGUUGAUACACAUCCCUUAGUGAUGGCCAAGAUGGUGCUAUUAACUGUGACAACUGGGUAUUUCCUCUUGUACUGUUCAUCAGUGUUAGGCUUUGAAAUAACCUGCUAAGACCUCGCUGUUUUAAAUUGGGAUGGCAGGGAGGACUUCCAAAGGAAACAUCUAUUGAAUGUUCUGACAUUUCUGCAAGGUUAAUUUUUUUUUCUUUUUACUUACAAAUCAAAAAAAGUUUGUAACUAAAUGUUUUAUGUUACGUGUGGCAAUUGUAAAUUUAGUAGCAGCUGAGACUGAUCAGCAGUGGCUAAAAUAGAGGACUAGGAUUCCAAGGUGAGUGAACUGCUCUUCUGCAUUUGGGUUGGGUUUGGUUUAGUUUUGGAAGAAAUCUUUUGCCAGGUGAUUGAACCGUAGGAAUUUGAGAGCUCUGUGUUUCUGUAAAUAAGGAAUAAGUCUAAAAAUUUUCUAGCUAGCAGAAAUUACCUUGUAAAAAUCAUUUUAUAAAUGAGAAAACCUACUCAAAUGACUUCUUACUAAAGCCAGGACUAAAAUCUCUGGUUUCUGCAUGCAGUACUGUUUUUACUAUAUCAUACCCAACUCUUAUUUUUAAUUUUGUUAGUGAAUUUAUAUUAGACUGGUGAAUCACUUUUAAACUCAUAAAAUCACAAGUUUCCCUGUAAGACAAAGUGAGAUUUUCACCACUCGCUGUGAAUAUCACAGAAUUUAUUUUUAAGAAAUAUGAAUGAGUUAAGCAAAUCCACAUUAACACAUACAGAAUUUAAAGAGUAUUACAGUUUAAGCCAUCCAAAUUAUACCAGUUUUGUCUUACUUACAACUGAGUUUGUCUUACUUACAACUGAGUUUGCGUUUGCAGCAUUGAUUUGUUACUGAUUUCUGUCCAUACUGUCACUCAUGCUUUUUUCCUCCCAUGGUAUUAGGAUGAAUUUUUCUGUAAAAGUUACCCAUGUGGAUAGUAACUGAUGACUAACAAAGGAAAGAAGCUGCACUGAAGGUGCAUAAACUGAGCCAAAGAUCUCUUCCUUGAUACAUAUUUUUUAAAGACUUAGCAUUUAUUUGAAAGGCAGAGUUAAAUAGAGAGGAGGAGAGGAGAGAGAGAGAUUUGCCAUCUGCUGGCCCACUCCUCAAAUGGCCACAAUAGCCUGGGCUGGGCCAGGCUGAAGCCAGGAGCCCAGAACACCAUCCGAGUCUCUACAUGGGUGUCAGGGGCCCAGGUGCUCCGACCUUACUUCAUUACCUUCCCAGGGACGUUAGAAGGGAGCUGGAUUGGACGUGAAGCAGCCAGACUUUGAACUAACACCCAUAUUGGAUGCUGGCAUUGCAGCCAUGCCCUAAUUCACUGUGCCACAACCCUGGCCUUUCUUCCUUGAUAUUUUUAACUAGUAUAAUAGCAUAAACUAAAGUUCAAAACUUUCAAGCAUCUGUAGUUGCACAAGAAGAGAGGUAGCAGUUGUUGUUUUUUCCAGCAUGUUUUCUUGAGAUUUUUUGGUGACUGACUACUGGGACUUAAAAUGAAUAGUUUGGUUUGAAAAUGAUAAAAUACAAGUGUCGUUUAUUCAGCUAAUAUUUAGUGAUCACCGUGUAGUAAUAGCAAAGAAACAACAAUAAAUAGUUAACAGUUUCUGCCUUGAAAAAUGUCUGUAGUCUAGUUGAAAAAACAGACAUUACACACCUAUAACUUGACUUUUGGCAGAAUGACCAGCCAACUAGGAACAUGACAUACUGGAAAGACAGAGCUGAUGUUGACAAGUAUCAGUAGCAUCAGAUGAUCUGCACAUGUAAGCCUAGGAUUUAAGGUGCUCUUGUGUGAUUAGCUCCGCCUGGUUUUCUGGGUAGACAUUAGAAGAGCACAUUUCCUGUUCAGGCUACAGGGGUCCCAGAUUAAGAACAAAUGCACAUGUACUCACAGUCAGAGAAACCCAAACACACAGGAAACAAGUAAAAAAUUAGCAGAUUUAGAUACACACAUAUACACUAUGGGCUUCAGAUACUGGGUUAUCAGGCAAUUUUUUUUUUUAAAGAUUUAUUUAUUUAUUUGAAAGGCAGUUACUGAGAGGCAGAGGCAAAGAGAAAGAGAGAAGUCUUCCAUCUGCUGGUUCACUCCCCAAAUGGCCACAACAGUUGGAGCUGUACUGAUUCAAAGCCAGGAGCUGGGAGCUUCUUCCUGGUCUCCAUGUGGGUACAGGAACCCAAGGACUUGGGCCAUCUUCUGCUGCUUUCCCAGACAUAUUAACAGGGAGCUGGAUCAGAAGUGGAGAAGCCGGGACUCGAAGGAUGUCCAUAUGGCAUGCUGGCACUGCAGGCAGUAGUUUUACCCCUAUCAGGGGUUUUACCUCUAUCAGCAGUUGGCUUCUAUCAGGCAAUUUAUAGAACAACUAUAGGGUCGUUGUUUGGCAUAGUGGUUAAGACACUGGAUUGCCCACAUCUCCAUAAGUGAUUCCUGAAGUGUCAAGUUUGAGUUGUUGGCCCCGCUUCCAAUCCAGCUCCCUGCUAAUGAGCACCCUGGCAGGCAGCAGUGAUGGCACCCAUGUGUGAGACCUCAGUUGAGUUCCUCACUUUUGACUUUGCUGGCAUUUGGGGAAUGAACCAGUGGACAUAAGAUCUCUGCCUGCCUAUCCCUGUCUCUCUGCCUUUCAAUUAACUGACGAAAAUAAGUAAAUAAAAAUUUAAAAACAAAACAAGCAAAAACCUUAAAAAAAAAAAAAACCACAAGUGUUGGAGAAGAUGCAAAGAAAGUAAAACUCUUCUACCUUUCUAGUAGGAAUAUAAAAUGAUGUGGUUGCUCUCGAAAAUAGUUUGGUGGUUUUUCAAAAAUUAAUCAUAGAAAUACCAUAUAAUCCAGCAAUAUAUUCCCAAAAGAACUAAAAACAGGGACUCAAUAUUUGUAUACUCAUGUUCCUAGCACUGUUCUCGAUAGCAUAAGUGGAGAAGUAACCCAAAUAUCUUAUCAGCAGAUAAAUGGAUCAACAAAACGUGGUGUUGCAUAUAAUGGAAUAUUAUUCAACAUAAAAAGGGAAGGAAAUUUUGACACAUUUUGCAGCAUGAAUGAAGGUUGCUGAUGUUAUACUAAGUGAAAUAAGCUAGUCACAAAAGACAGGUAUUAUGUGAUUGCAUUUGUUUGAAGUGCCUUUAAUAAUCAAAAUCAGAGACAAAGUAAAAUGGUGGUUGCUAUGGGACUGGGAGAAUGGUGUUGUGUAAUGGGUAUAGAAUUUGAGUUUUGCAGGGCUGGCACUGUGGUGCAGCAGGUUAAACAGAUGCCCGUGGCACCGGCAUCCCAUAUGGGCACUGGUUCAAGUCCCAGAUGCUCCUCUUCAAUCCAGUUCCCUGCUUAUGUGCCUGGUAAAAGCAGAAGAUGGCCCACGUGCUUGGGGAGAGCCGGAUGAAGCUCUUGGCUCCUGGCUUUGGCCUGGCCCAGCCCCAGCCAUUAUGGCCUUUGGGGAGUGAGCCAGCAGAUGGAAAAUCUCUGUCUCUUCCUCUUUCUCUGUAACUUGACUUUCAAAUAAAAUAAAAUAAAUAAAUCUUUCUUAAAGAAGAAAAAGAAUUUGAUUUUGCAAGAUAAAAAGUUUUGUUAUGUAACAAUUUGUAUAUACCAAACUGAACUGUAUACUUUAAAAUGGUUAAGAUGGUGAAUUUUAUGAAUUUUAUGUGUAUUAUACCACAGGGCUUUUUUUUUUUUUUAAUCAGAAUGAACUUCUGAUUCAUGGAUGGACCUUGAAAACACUGUGCUGAAAUAAGUCAGGCACAAAUAUUGCAUGAUUACACUUACAUAAAAUACAUAAAAUAGGAAAAUCCAUGGAGAAAGAAAAAAGAUUAGAGAAUAUCCUGAGCUGGAGGAAGAGGUAGUAGGGAGUUAUUGAAUGGAUAACAGAGUACCUGAGUGUCUGUGAGCCCCUGAUUCCCAUGCUGAAGCCUUGCCCCAGUGUGGUAGCAGUAAACAGGUAGCAACUUUGGAGGGUGAUUUGCCCACAAGGGCUCCAUUUUUCUACUUACUACUUGUUGAAUUCUGUAUUUAGUGAAAGGUUAAGCUUGUGACUAUAAAGAAAAUUGAAAUUUUGUCAUGGUAAAAAUUAAAAGAAAAAUUAAGAAGGAGGAGUGGGUAGGAAAUAUCAUUAUGCUCUUGAAACUAUAUAUUUAAAAUAUAUUAAGUUGCUUUUUUACAAAUAAGAAGUUUUUAAUGAUUAAAAUGGCAAAUAUUACAUGUAUUUAACCAGAGUUAAAAAAUUAUUAAUAAUUGUAGCAGACAGAUGACAUCCAAAAAGACUACAGUUUGACAACAGAUUUCUCAGCAGCAGCAGUGGUGGAAGCCAUUUGGCAGUUACCAAACAAAUCUUUAUUCUAGAUUUGCAUGCAAACCAAAACUACUUUCAAGAACCAAGCAGGGACCUGCGUUGUGUGUAGCACAGGGGGUUAAGCAGCCGCCUGCAGCACCAGCAUCCUAUGUGGGGCUCUUUCCAAUCCAGCUCCCUGCUAAUGUGCCUGGUAAGGCAGCAAAGGAUGGCCCAGGAGCUUGGGCCCCUCCUUUCACAGAGGAGACCCAGAAGAGGCUCUUGGCUCCUGGCUUCGGAUCAGCCCAGCUCCAGCCAUUGCAGCCAUAUGGAGAGUGAACCAGUAGAUGGAAGAUCUCUCUAAGAACAGUCUUAGCGGAAGAUUUUUAGACCUUUGUGAAUAAAACUGUACUCGGAAAUAAUACAAAUUUUUAAAUGCUAAUAAGAUAUUAUGUAGUCAUUAACAGUCAUGUUUAUGGGGCAGGCAUUUAGCCUUGCAGUUAAGAUGCUGGUUAAUAUACCUGGAACCCACAUCGAAGUACAAAGGUUCACGUCCCAGCUCUGCUUCCUGAUUCCAGUUGCCUGCUGAUGCAGA